CCUAUGUGGUAACUGCUGUCGAGGAUCAGAGCUAUAUCCACCUGGCAGUCUGCAACAAGAUAAAAGUCCUCACUCUGGUCUCCUCCUAAAAGGUGGUGGGAUAGCCGAGCUGCUGGUUUGGCUGGAUACUUCCAUAGUUUUUUAAAUGCCACUUCAGCAAGCACUUCAAGAUGUUGAAAAAGAUGGUCUGCCUAAUGAAG